UACGUAGGGUGCAAGCGUUGUCCGGAAUUAUUGGGCGUAAAGAGCUCGUAGGCGGUCUGUCGCGUCUGCUGUGAAACUCGGGGCUUAACCCCGGGCCUGCAGUGGGUACGGGCAGACUAGAGUGCGGGUAGGGGAGACUGGAAUUCCUGGUGUAGCGGUGAAAUGCGCAGAUAUCAGGAGGAACACCGGUGGCGAAGGCGGCCAGCUAGACCAGUUCUGACACUGAGGCGCGAAAGCUAGGGGAGCAAACGGG
rnacentral:rRNA from 1 species